rnacentral:rRNA from 1 species
AUGCAAGUCGAGCGGUAACACAAGGGAGCUUGCUCCUGAGGUGACGAGCGGCGGACGGGUGAGUAAUGCCUAGGUAUCUGCCCAGUCGAGGGGGAUAACAGUUGGAAACGACUGCUAAUACCGCAUACGCCCUACGGGGGAAAGGAGGGGACCUUCGGGCCUUCCGCGAUUGGAUGAGUCUAGGUGGGAUUAGCUAGUUGGUGAGGUAAUGGCUCACCAAGGCGACGAUCCCUAGCUGGUCUGAGAGGAUGAUCAGCCACACUGGAACUGAGACACGGUCCAGACUCCUACGGGAGGCAGCAGUGGGGAAUAUUGCACAAUGGGCGAAAGCCUGAUGCAGCCAUGCCGCGUGUGUGAAGAAGGCCUUCGGGUUGUAAAGCACUUUCAGCGAGGAGGAAAGGUUACUGGCUAAUAUCCAGUAGCUGUGACGUUACUCGCAGAAGAAGCACCGGCUAACUUCGUGCCAGCAGCCGCGGUAAUACGAGGGGUGCAAGCGUUAAUCGGAAUUACUGGGCGUAAAGCGUACGCAGGCGGUUUGUUAAGCGAGAUGUGAAAGCCC